AGAGUUGAUCCUGGCUCAGAAGGAACGCUAGCAUAUGCUUAAACAUGCAAGUCGAACGGUUGUUUCAGGGAGCUGGGCAGAAGAAAAAAGGCUCCUAGCUAAAGGUUAGCUUGUCUCGCCCAGGAGGUGAGAACAGUUGAGAACAAAAGUGGCGAACGGGUCGUAACGCGUGGGAAUCUGCCGAACCAGUUCGGGGCCCAAAUCCGGAAGAAAGCUAAAAAGCGCUGUUUGAAGAGCCCUGCGUUAUAUUAGGUAGUUGGUCAGGUUAAAGGCUGACCAGCCAAUGAUGCUUACUGGUCUUUUCGGAUGAUCGCCACACUGGGACUAGACACGGCGGACUCCCACGGGGGGCAGCAGUGGGGAUCUUGGACAAUGGGCGAAAGCCCGAUCCAGCAAAUAUCGGGCGUGAGUGAAGAAGGGCAAUGCCGCUUGUAAAGCUCUUCGUUGGAGUGCGCGAUCAUGACAGGACUCGAGGAAGAAGCCCUGGCUAACUUCCGUGCAGCAGCCGCGGUAAGACGGGGGGGGCAAGUGUUCUUCGGAAUGACUGGGCGUAAAGGGCACGUAGGCGUGAAUCGGGUUGAAAGUGGAAAGUCGCCAAAAACUCGCGGAAUGCUAUCGAAACCAAUUCCACUUGGUGAGACAGAGAGAGUGGAAUUUUCGUGUGUAGGGGUGAAAUCCGGAGAUUACGAAAAGGAACGCCAGAGCGAAGGCAGCUCUCUGGGUCCCUAACGACGCUGGGGUGCGAAGCAUGGGGCGCGAACAGAAUUAGAUACCCUGGUAGUCCUGCCGGUUAAAACGUGAGUGUUCGCCCUAUUGGUCUACACGGAUCGGAUCCAGGGGGAUAACGGGUAAACCCGCCCAAUGAAAACCGAAAGAGAACUACGAGUGAUGAGAGCAUUGUAUGUCGUGUACUAUUAGCUCAAUUUUUUCAUAAUACCAUUACACUCUUGGGGUGAGACAGAGGUACAGAUGAGGAGAAUCUUACGUAAAUGCCCGAGGUCUUUCUCUAUACCGCGCCAACUCGACGUUCGUUCUUCACCCGUGCAAAUAAGUGCUCAAGAGAUACGUACUUUAGCUCAAACAGCGAGAAAAUGCCCUUGUCUAUUAAUUAGUAAAGCCUAUAACGUCCUUAUUUGAAAACGAAGCGCUAACUAGGAAAGUACUUUAGAAAGGGCGCCCAGGCUCCCUUCUUACUGAACCAGUCACAGCUACGUUUCUGUGGGGCAACUUCAAUUAGGCAUGAAAAUCGGAGAUCUACGAAGGAACCGCCAAAGCUGAAGGCAGCUCUCGUGGUCUCCUACCGACGCUGGGUGUGCGAAUAGCAUGCCGGAUGUCGAAACAGGCAUCUAGAUUACCCUGGUUAGUCCAUGCCGUAAACGUAUUGAUGGUGUUCGCCCGUUGGUCUACCGACGAUCAGGUUGAUCAUGGGGGCCCAGCUAACGCGUGAAACACUCCGCCUGGGAGUACGGUCGCAAGAACCGAAAACUCAAAGCAAUUGACGGGGGCCUGCACAGCGUGGAGCAUGUGGUUUUAAUUCGAUACAACGCGCAAAACCUUUACCAGCCCUUGACAUAUGAACAACAAAACCUGUCCUUAACGGAUGGUACUGACUUUCAUCAGGUGCUGCAUGGCUGUCGUCAGCUCGUGUCGUGAGAUGUUUGGUCAAGUCCUAUAACGAGCGAAACCCUCGUUUUGUGUGCUGAGACAUGCGCUUAAGGAGAAAGUCUUUGCAACCGAAGUGAGCCAAGGAGCCGAGUGACGUGCCAGCGCUACUAAUUGAGUGCCAGCACGUAGCUGUGCUGUCAGUAAGAAGGGAGCCGGCGCCUUUCUAAGUACUUUCUAGUUAGCGCUUUCGUUUUCAAUAAGGACGUUAGGCUUUACUAAUAAAUAGAAAGGGCUUUUCUCGUUGUUUAGUAAAGUCACGUUUUUGGCCUUAUCUUGCGGGUGACGACGACGUCGAGUUGGCGGCGAGAAAGA
rnacentral:rRNA from 1 species